CCGGUACCCGGGGCGGAUGCGGCCUAGUGGCGGACGGGUGAGUAACGCGUGGGCAAUCUGCCCCGUACCGGGGGAUAACACCUGGAAACAGGUGCUAACACCGCAUGACAGGCGGGGGCGCAUGCCCCGGCCUUGAAAACUCCGGUGGUACGGGAUGAGCCCGCGUCCGAUUAGCCAGUUGGCGGGGUAACGGCCCACCAAAGCGACGAUCGGUAGCCGGCCUGAGAGGGUGGACGGCCACAUUGGGACUGAGACACGGCCCAAACUCCUACGGGAGGCAGCAG
rnacentral:rRNA from 1 species